GACGAACGCUGGCGGCGUGCCUAACACAUGCAAGUCGAACGGAACUUACCGAAUGAAGUUUUCGGAUGGAUUUUGAUAAGUUUAGUGGCGGACGGGUGAGUAACGCGUGAGUAACCUGCCUUCAAGAGGGGAAUAACGUUCUGAAACGACUGCUAAUACCGCAUAAUGUCAUUUGGGGGCAUCCCUGGAUGACCAAAGAUUUAUUGCUGAAAGAUGGUCUCGCGUCUGAUUAGCUGGUUGGCGGGGUAACGGCCCACCAAGGCGACGAUCAGUAGCCGGUCUGAGAGGAUGAACGGCCACAUUGGGACUGAGAUACGGCCCAG
rnacentral:rRNA from 1 species